GGCUAAGCGGUAAAGCGCUUGGCUUCUGAACUGGAGCUCCCAGGUUCGAAUCCUGG
rnacentral:tRNA from 1 species